rnacentral:lncRNA from 1 species
UUAUUUCACGUAGUUUAUUAUUUCUCUUCUCUCUAAAUAUAAUUUUUACUCAAUCAACUUCAACAAAUGGAGUGUUCUCAAAACAAUCCAACAUAUAUUUACCUUCAGAAAAAUUGACUCAUCUUCACUUCUACUACCAUGACAUUAAAAACAAAAACAACCCAACAAUUGUGCAAAUUGUUAACACACCUGAAAACGUGCCUAAUGGAUUUGGUGCAACUUAUGUAAUGGAUGAUGAAAUCACUGAAGGGCCUGAAAUGAGUUCAAAGCACAUUGGAAGAGCACAAGGGUUGUUUGGUCAAGCUUCUCUGCAUGAUAUUGGAAUGUUUAUGUUGACAAAUUUUAUUUUCACAGAGGGAAACUAUGCAGGGAGCACACUUAGCAUGUUAGGGAG